rnacentral:rRNA from 1 species
AACGAACGCUGGCGGCAUGCCUAACACAUGCAAGUCGAACGAGACCUUCGGGUCUAGUGGCGCACGGGUGCGUAACGCGUGGGAACCUGCCCUUAGGUUCGGAAUAACUCCCCGAAGGGGGUGCUAAUACCGGAUAAUGUCUUCGGACCAAAGAUUUAUCGCCUUUGGAUGGGCCCGCGUUGGAUUAGCUAGUUGGUAGGGUAAAAGCCUACCAAGGCGACGAUCCAUAGCUGGUCUGAGAGGAUGAUCAGCCACACUGGGACUGAGACACGGCCCAGACUCCUACGGGAGGCAGCAGUGGGGAAUAUUGGACAAGGGGCGAAAGCCUGAUCAAGCAAUGCCGCGUGAGUGAUGAAGGCCUUAGGGUUGUAAAGCUCUUUUACCCGGGAUGAUAAUGACAGUACCGGGAGAAUAAGCUCCGGCUAACUCCGUG